UACGUAGGGAGCAAGCGUUGUCCGGAAUCAUUGGGCGUAAAGCGCGUGUAGGCGGCUUGAUAAGUCUGCUCUGAAAGCCCGGGGCUCAACCCUGGGAGGCGGGUGGAUACUGUCGAGCUCGAGUCCGGAAGAGGCGAGUGGAAUUCCUGGUGUAGCGGUGAAAUGCGCAGAUAUCAGGAGGAACACCGAUGGCGAAGGCAGGUCUCUGGGCAUUAACUGACGCUGAGGAGCGAAAGCAUGGGGAGCGAACAGG
rnacentral:rRNA from 1 species